rnacentral:lncRNA from 1 species
GAGGCCACUCCCUGGGCCUCCUGCUAUGCACUGGGCUCAGUGCUUAUCUCACGCUAAGUGACCUCUUUAUAUUCCUAAAAUGUUUGAAACCCAUCUGCUGAUUUAGCCUGCGGAAGGAAUUUGUUUUUAUAGUUAAUAUCAAUAUAUUGAAGCUACGUAGCCAGAGAAAAUGAUUUUCAUAUUUCAAUCACAUAACAAAUGAGGAACCACGACUGGGAGCUGCAUCCCCAGAGGGCGGUGCUCUGCAUGGCAAACCGUGAUCUAUUUCACUGAGCACGCGUGUUGACAGCAGCAGAGGGUCGGCUGAGUCUGGAAGUGAGAGUGUCAGAAGAACCAGAGGGUCAAGGACGAGAUGCGAGCACAGGAGACAUCUGGACCCCAGACCGAGAGCAAGGGCCGGCAGGUGGGGU